rnacentral:rRNA from 1 species
AUGAUAGACAUUCAGUACCAUGACAUGAAGAAAGAAAUUAACCGCAAGGAGGACCAUACUCUGUGGGGAUUUUGCCUGCUGCCAGAAAAGCUUAUCAAGUAUGCAGUAAUAGAUGCAUUCGCAACAUAUGAGUCAUGGAGAAUCAUUUACGAUGUCAUAAUGGGACUGGACAGGGCAAAAAGCGACAAAGAAGCAAAGAAGAAGAAGAACAAGGCUGCGGCAAGCCACGUCGCCGCCUGCUCCGGCUCGUUCCAGGCUCGGCCUCGCAGGGGGAUGGGGAGAGGGGGUCACGACCCCCCCUCCCCACACCCUGCUCGGCCUCACGCUAACGCAUGCAGCACAGUCCGGACAUUCUGUUUUUCCAUCAAAAGGGGAUGCACGCAACCCCGGAGCCACACCCCUAAGAUAGACAGGGGGCGACGGGGUGUGACGGACUCGCCUACGCAUGCGACGCCACGGCAAGCCUCUUCGCCGCCUGCUCCGGCUCAUUCCAGUCUCGGCCUCGCAGGAGGAGGGGGAGGGGGAUCUCGACCCCCCUCCCCACCCCCUGCUCGGCCUCAUGCUAACGCAUGCAGUGCGCUUGGUUGA